rnacentral:tRNA from 1 species
AAAUCUUAUAGUUUAUAAAACUUUAAAUUGCAAAUUUAAUAAAGAAUCUAUUUCUAAGAUUU